AGGAUGAACGCUGGCGGCGUGCCUAAUACAUGCAAGUAGAACGCUGAAGCUUGGUGCUUGCACCGAGCGGAUGAGUUGCGAACGGGUGAGUAACGCGUAGGUAACCUGCCGUGGUAGCGGGGGAUAACUAUUGGAAACGAUAGCUAAUACCGCAUAACAGUCGACAUUGCAUGAUGUUGAUUGAAAGGGCAAUUGCUACCACUACCAGAUGGACCUGCGUUGUAUUAGCUAGUGGUGAGGUAACGCUCACAAGGCGACGAUACAUAGCCGACUGAGAGGUGAUCGGCACACGUGGACUGA
rnacentral:rRNA from 1 species